GGCCCCGUAGUUCAAUGGAUAGAAUAAGCGUUUCCUAAACGUUUGAUAGCGGUUCGAUUCCGCUCGGGGCUGCCA
rnacentral:tRNA from 1 species